UACGGAGGGGGCGAGCGUUAUUCGGAAUUAUUGGGCGUAAAGGGCGCGUAGGCGGCCCGGUAAGUCAAAGGUGAAAUCCCUCGGCUCAACUGAGGAACUGCCUUUGAAACUGCUGGGCUUGAGUCCGGGAGGGGGUAGCGGAAUUCCCAGUGUAGCGGUGAAAUGCGUAGAUAUGCGGAGGAACACCGAUGGCGAAGGCAGCCCCCUGGGCUAACACUGACGCUCAGGCACGAAAGCGUGGGGAGCAAACAGG
rnacentral:rRNA from 1 species